GUUUCACAAAGGAAGGUAACUCAAACCAGAGACAGAGGGGUAACUCUAGCCUGUUUCACAGACAGAGGUAACUUACAGCUCUCGGUCAAUCACCAUAGUAACAGACUCUAUGAACCUAACCUGGUCAGGACCAGGUUUUUCUCAAAGAAACCCUGAGUUUCUCUCUGACUUCACCCGCUUUCAGCCACACACGGAAUUUGAUUUCCUCAUUCAUUCAGUCAGCAGGAGAGUUUUGGCGAAACAUAGUUCUGCCAUCUGUCAUUUAAA